ensembl:lncRNA
GGGCAGUGCUGGGUGCUGAUGGCCAUUUUGUGUCCUCUCAGUGCUGCUUUAGUGGGACUGUUGGCCUUUAUUCUUACCUGGAUCCUUCACAGAAAAGGAAACAAUGAAUCAGACAGAAUAAAAACAGCCCAGGGACACAGCAACGAUGUACAGGGUAUGGAACAGGUAGUGCUUUACACCUCCUUCUGUUUGUCAAAUGGAGAUCAUCGUGGCAAAAGAAAAAACACACAUCAUUAAUGUGAUCCUGUGUAUCUUUAUCAGCUAAUGUUACAUAAUAUGAACAUGCUGAAUAUGUAUGUUUUAUGUGAGUACAUUUUCUAGUACAGAUAUCUACCUUGUGUACUGCAGUUGUACUAUGUUGUCCUAUUAAAUAUACAUUCAUUUUCUGC